ACGCUUGAAGUCAGUCGCGUCCUUUGGGAUUCAGCCUUGCUUCUGCUCGGUUUACUUCCUUUGGGACGGGUCAACGUCAGUUUCGACCGGAGGAGAAAGGCUUGGGGAAGGUGGCUUCGUUCGCGGAGUGUUAUAGCCCCUCGUUGUAUACUUCGGACGGGACUGAGGACCGCAGCGCGCCUUCAUGGCCGGGGUUCGCCCACGUAACGCGCUUAGGAUGUUGGCAUAAUGGCUUUAAGCGACCCGUCUUGAAACACGGACCAAGGAGUC
rnacentral:rRNA from 1 species